GUUUGUAAUAUUCAGUGGUCAUAUGAUGAGAAAUAGACAUACUGACAUAUAAUGAAGGUUUACUGUAACUUUCAGAAAUCAAAACUUUUAUAAAAAAAAAAAAGGGACAGUUCACUCCAAAAAUGAAAAGUGUCAUAUUUAAACCACCCUCUAUAAACUGUAUGCAUUUCUUUCUUCUGUGGAACAUAAAAGAAGAUAUUUCGAGAAAUUUUACAGUGUUUUUUUCCAUACAAUAGAAGUCAGUGGGCUCCAAUCAUAUUUGGUUUCCAACAUUCUUUCACAGAACAAAGACAUGCAUACAGGUUUGAAAUGACAAAAGGGACCAAAUUAAAGAAUGAUUUAGGUGGACUGUCACUUUUGCAGCUAGUCUCUUAGAGUAAUACAUUGACACUUGGCUGCCCACAUUUCACAUCAGUGACACUUGUUUGAUAAUCAAAAACUUUACUGUAGGUGCAAAUACAUGCAAAUUUCUAACUGAGCACAAAACAAAAUGUGAUUAUAUGAUGUAACCCAGAGGUAGCAUAGACUGAAUGAUUUUUAAAUUAACUUAUAGUUUCCUAUUUCAUCAGGAAAGCAGCCAGAGCCUGACACAGUGAUGAAGCGCAGCUGUGUGGUCACAACAACCAUAGUGACAGAACUCACUCAGACACACCCCGUCCCACCAAAUGACACGUCCAGCACAGAGCAGCUUGAUUCAGUCUGUAAUUCAUGUGAUCUGAGCUCAGCUGCCGAGUCCACCAAGGCUGAGGAGACUUCAUACUCACUCUCACUGACAGAGGGGACUGACUACUCCGCUGACUGUGUAAGUACUUAAGUUGUGCCAAACUCGCACUCAUUCUUCAUGAAUGUCUCCUUAUUUCCUUUUCAGUCUUUUUUUCUUUUGUUAGUCACUCAUUGUAACGUUUUGGUCAUUUCGGCUGCUGGUGUGCUCAGGGUGGCUUGAGGAAAACAGAUAGUGUUGGACAUCUUUGCCAUUGCAUUGCUUCUCGCUGAUGUUUCAGUGUCUCACACCAGUAGCUUUACAUUUUUAAGACAGCGUGUUAAGUUAUAAUACAAAUAGUUAAAAAGUGUUAAUGCAUCUCAAAAACGUUUAGCAUUCUGUUGCAUUCAGCUGUAUCUAGCAGUUUCUAGCAGUUUCUUGUGUGUGCAUCCUCUCUUCAUACUGUUUAGAGUGCUGUUGCUGCCUUAAUCACACUCCACACAAUUCUGUGUUAGUUUAGUAUUUCUUAAGUAAUGAGCUUUUAUAUUUAUAUUUUCAGAAAUUGAGAUGCGUCCUUUGCCAACUAAGUGAAAUAAAAUAGAAACUGAUUUAUAUAUAUAUAUAAUU
ensembl:lncRNA